AGCCUGAGGCUGUUACUACACCAAAUAAAAAUACUGAGAAAAAUUAGCAUUACACACAUUAUUUAAGAAUGUAGCAAGACUUGUGUAAAGUUCCUCACGCCAGGGAAAAGAUCUUGCCAACAUGCCUAUUCAUCCUACUCCUUCUCUGGAAGCAAAAUUCUCCCCCAAGCCUAGAAUUUCACAACAUUUCAAAUUCGGAUGCAAAAAUGGAAAUACCCAUCACUUCUUUCCUUGAAUGAGGUUAAUCAUUGUGUUGCUUCUUUUCUAGUACUCAAAGCAUUUCAGCUUGUGGGAAGUGUGAGGUGGGGGUAUAGCAGUCAUUUAAAAGUCUGACAUUUGUUAAACUGGGUGAAGCAAAUCUAGGGGGAGUCCUUGUACUCAGGGUGAUGGUCAGGAGAAUACUCUGGAUGCAGAAAAGUGAAGCAAGGUCCAGGAAAAGUCGAGGUGAGGCAACAGAAGGAAGAAGGUGCUUCAGCAAACCUCAUUGCCUUAGAGCCAGUCCGUCUGCUGAUACGAUUUCAUGAUGGAGCGAGAUAGGAUACCCUGAAGAUGCCAUCACCACCAGACAGCAGAAAGUAAAUUGAAGAAUACGAUGCCCUCAUUGCCAAGAGAGAAGAUAAUGGGAAUCAAAGAAUUUCUAUGGUGAUAUGCAAGAU